rnacentral:rRNA from 1 species
UGCAAGUUGAGCGGCAAGGAGGAGAGAUCCUCCCUAGAGCGGCGGACUGGUGAGUAACGCGUGGGUAAUCUAUCUUAGGCAUGGGGAUAGUCACUAGAAAUAGUGGGUAAUACCGAAUAAGUUCCAUAAGGGGAGGACUUAUGGAAGAAAGGUGCUACGGCACUGGCCUUAGGUGAGCUCGCGUCCCAUUAGCUAGUUGGUGAGGUAAAGGCCCACCAAGGCGAUGAUGGGUAGCCGGCCUGAGAGGGUGUACGGCCACACUGGGACUGAGAUACGGCCCAGACUCCUACGGGAGGCAGCAGCUAAGAAUAUUCCGCAAUGGACGGAAGUCUGACGGAGCGACGCCGCGUGGAUGAAGAAGGCCGAAAGGUUGUAAAGUUCUUUUGCUAGGGGAGAAUAAGUGUGGGAGGGAAUGCCUGCACGAUGACAAGGACUAGCGAAUAAGUCCCGGCCAACUACGUGCCAGCAGCCGCGGUAACACGUAGGGGGCGAGCGUUGUUCGGAAUUACUGGGCGUAAAGGGCAUGUAGGCGGCUUGGUAAGCCUGGCGUGAAAGUCUGCAGCUUAACUGUAGGGAUGCGUUGGGAACUGCUUAGCUUGAGUUACGGAGAGGGAGCUGGAAUUCCUGGUGUAGGGGUGAAAUCUGUAGAUAUCAGGAAGAACACCGAUGGCGAAGGCAAGCUUCUGGCCGACAACUGACGCUGAGGUGCGAAAGUGUGGGGAUCAAACAGGAUUAGAUACCCUGGUAGUCCACACAGUAAACGAUGUGCACGAGGUGCUGGGGCGGUAGUUUCAG